rnacentral:lncRNA from 1 species
AAUCACAAGGGUCCUCGAAUGGGGAGGAGGAGGCAGGAGACGAGGCCGGGAGACGCUGCAGGGAGUCUCUGCGGCCGCCGAGGCUCUGAAGACGGAGGGAGGGCCUGGCCCGGACGGGCCACUCCUGGGGCUGACGAGGCAGGCGGCGGGUCCUCCCCAGGCCCCAGCAGAACCGGCCUUGCUCGCCCCACACUGGGCUUCCAACCUCCAGAGCUGCGAGAUGAUAAAUCUGUGCGGCGUUGCGGUCACUUGCUCCGGCAGCCACAGGAAGCUCUCACAUGACGCGGACAGCGGCGGACAUGAGGAAAGGCCAGAGGCAGCAGCCAGCCCAUCUCAGGCCCGUCACCGUGGAAGCAGCGGCCGGAGGAGCCACAGAAAGCAAAACUCCCAAAGCCGCCCACGUACUUCGGGUCUUAGCUUGGAUCUCCUGGAGACAGGCCCUGCGAAGGAGCUGGGCUGGGAGCAGGUUUAUCAGGGCGUGAUCUUAGGAGGCAGAUGUAGGAGGUGAGGAAGGCAGGGUGUGUAGAGUGCAGCUGACCCAACCGGCCCGGCCGACCCACAGGACGCCCUGGGCUGAGACGCUGUCAGCACUGCCCCAGGCUGAGACCACCUUGGGAGGGGUGUAACCUUGUGCAGGGGGGCUCUCUGCAGCGGAGGGCAGUCCUGGGGAGGACACGGCUGAGGACACAUGCAGUGACGUCCCAGCGUUCCCAGCAGUGGGGAGGGUCGGGGGGGCAUCCAGUGCCCACGACACUCAUGAACACAAAAACCAACCAGAGAAAACCCAGUCUCCAGCAAAGAGCCGAGUGCUGAGUGUGCAGCGUUCUCCGCCUGUCUCUCCCCCUUUCGCACCUCUAUCCCAGGCAGGCCCUCCCUGGCCUUGCCACCAUGCCGGACCACCGUGUGGACCCUGUGCUCACCCAGGCCUCACCUUUCAGCCCCCUAAGCUGGGCCCAAAGCAGCAGACUGUGUUAUGGAGGGUGCUGUGGCUCACGGCCCCCACCCCCUGCUAGGCAGAGUUGCCGGGUAAAAGACAGGAUAACCAAUUAAAUUAGAACGUCAGAGAAACACA